rnacentral:rRNA from 1 species
CACGGAGGGUGCAAGCGUUAAUCGGAAUUACUGGGCGUAAAGCGUGCGCAGGCGGUUUGUUAAGUCCGUUGUGAAAGCCCCGAGCUCAACUUGGGAAUUGCAGUGGAUACUGGCAGGCUGGAGUACGGUAGAGGAAGGUGGAAUUCCCGGUGUAGCAGUGAAAUGCGUAGAUAUCGGGAGGAACACCAGUGGCGAAGGCGGCCUUCUGGACCAGUACUGACGCUCAUGCACGAAAGCGUGGGGAGCAAACAGG